UAGGGAAUCUUCGGCAAUGGACGAAAGUCUGACCGAGCAACGCCGCGCGAGUGAAGAAGGUUUUCGGAUCGUAAAACUCUGUUGUUAGAGAAGAACAAGGACGUUAGUAACUGAACGUCCCCUGACGGUAUCUAACCAGAAAGCCACGGCUAACUACGUGCCAGCAGCCGCGGUAAUACGUAGGUGGCAAGCGUUGUCCGGAUUUAUUGGGCGUAAAGCGAGCGCAGGCGGUUUCUUAAGUCUGAUGUGAAGGCCCCCGGCUCAACCGGGGAGGGUCAUUGGAAACUGGGAGACUUGAGUGCAGAAGAGGAGAGUGGAAUUCCAUGUGUAGCGGUGAAAUGCGUAGAUAUAUGGAGGAACACCAGUGGCGAAGGCGGCUAUCUGGUCUGUAACUGACGCUGAGGCUCGAAAGCGUGGGGAGCAAACAGG
rnacentral:rRNA from 1 species